CCCAGCGGCCAUGGGGACGCGAAGCAGCCCCGAGGAGGGGACCCCGCCGCCGCUGGUCCCGGAAUGCGACGUGGAGGUCCAGCCCCAGGGCCAUCCCGAGGAGUCCCGGGAACAGGAGGCAUCCGAAGUCCUGGCGGAACCUUCGAGCCGCGGGGGAGCUGAGCAGCAGGCAGAGGAAGAAGAAGUGGGAGAAGCUGUGGGGCCAUCCAUCCAGACAUUGCCCACAUGGAGCGGCUCCUGCAGCAGGCCAUGGCGGAGAGGGAGCGGCUGCUCAAGGCCCGGGAAGGAACAAGAAGGGGCACGGAAGGUUCCUCAGGCCCUGCUGUUCCUGCCAUCACGGUGUCUGGGUGCUGCUGCCGUGGACCCCUGGUGAAGAUGGGCGGCCGCAUCAAGACCUGGAGGAAGCGAUGGUUCUGCUUUGACCGCCAAGCCCGCCGCUUGGCCUACUAUGCGGAGCCCCAACCCCCGCCUGACCUUCUGCGUCAAAACCUACGAACGCCUUUUCUACAUGGUGGCUCCGAGCCCCGAAGCCAUGCGCAUUUGGAUGGACGUCAUCGUGACCGCCGCUGACGAAAACCACGCCCCCUGAGUGGCCCCGCCCUCUUGGGGGGAAGUCCCUUCGAGGCUCCGCCGGCGCGGGGCGCGGGGGCGUUCCUAGGCCCCGCCCACUGCCGGAAAACUUGGACGCACCGCUUUGGAACUCUCCCGGGAAUUCCGCAGGCGCGGCAGUUCAGCUGGCCUGAGCUGCUGCGUUCUGGGUUGCAGGUGCCUUGCCCCCGACGGGAUCGCCGGCCCCUAAGGCCCUGCCCGGGGCAGGAGGAAGAUUGCAGGGGCGGGAAGAAACUAUUUAUUGGUGCUCCUGUGAUACCGAAUUAAAUACGGAG
rnacentral:lncRNA from 1 species